rnacentral:tRNA from 1 species
GAAAAUGUAGUUAAAUUAAUAUUAAUUUGUCAAAUUAAAGAUGAUUAUAUUCC